GUCACACCGCUUACUCACAUUCACAAGCCUGUGAAAUAUGACAUGACAGCCAAGAUCUAUUUCUUUAUGUUUAUACUGCAGGAUAUGUAGAUACGAUGCAAAGGAAAGCCUGAAAUGGCGAAGGCCACACUGAUCUCCCGCGUGAGCCUGGUGGGCUUUAGCGCCGGACCACUCAGCGUUUGGCUCCAUCGGCCCAGUCCACGAAGGGGUCUUAAACCGCGUGACGACCCCUGGAACCACCUGCCGUCCCACCGCCCCGUCUCCAGCAGCAGCCCUGCAGCCCCUCGCACCCAGCCGAAGAGGCGUCCUUUUUUAUUCUCCAGGCUGACGGGAUAAGCAGUACGAAGACAGAUGGACUGUAAUUACCAUUAACAACGAAAAUAAAAUUUUAUGGAACAGCUAAUAGCUAAUUAAUUAGCUAUUAAGACUCUUCAGUAUUUAAUGGUAUUUUCAGAAGCAGAUUCCAGUUGGACAGAUCACUGUGCUCUCUUUUAUUCUUGCCGAAAUGUGGAAACCCUACCCAACUGGAGAGUUAGUAGCUGGCGAGGGCGGCCUGAGAAGUGGCAAACAAAGGGGACACAUUUUAAUUGAACUACGGGCCAAAUUGCCAG